rnacentral:lncRNA from 1 species
GAUAGUUUCAGGUAUAGUUUCAGUAAAUGCUGUGAAGAACUACAACUUUACAGCAGGAUAAAUAAAGGGUGAGUGUGAGAGGUUCUGGUGAAAAAGGCCUCUGACAUUUGAGCUCCAGCCUUGUGUGUGUGUGUGUGUGUGUGUGUGUGUGUGUGUGUGUGUGUGUAUGAAGGGUGUUUCUAACAGUGAGUAGCAAGUGGAAUGGGAACCAGCUUGACAAGUUUGAGGAAUAAAAAGGACAUCAUACUUUUAACAAACGAUUGUAUCAUGACAUCAGAGUUAGGAAAGGUGGAUGGUUAAACAGGAUCUUACAGGGUUAAUAUAGGAAUACAGAGGUUUUUUUUUUUUAAUUCUAUUUUUUCCCUUCCCUUACUCUUAAAAAAAAUAAAAUAAAAUUUGAGAUCUCACUCUGUAGCCUAGGUCUGCCUCAUCUUCCCAAAUGUUGCUUUCUAAGUAUUAGGAGUUUGAGUUUGAAUUCUUAUUGUAAGUGCUGCAAGAAGACAGUUUUAGUGAGUGAAGAGUGGAUUCGUGGGGGAGAAGGUUGGAAGCAGGUAUAUAUAUCAUUUAAGAAACUUAAACCUCAUCACACAAAAUGAUGUUGGUUUAGUAAUGCUUACUGUUGUCAUUCUCUGUCAUGAAUUUAACAACUGGUAUUCCUGGUUCUUCAGGCUUUCAAACAUGCUUGCAUUAGAGAGUGAUUUCUUCAGUUCUCCCCCAAGAAAAACUGUUCGGUUUGGUGGAACUGUGACAGACGUCUUACUGAAGUACAAAAAGGGUGAAACAAAUGACUUAGAGUUGUUGAAGAACCAGCUGUCUGAUCCUGAUAUAAAGGUAAUUUUAAAAAGUAAUUUUACUAUAUUUAUCACUUUUAAUUAUUUUUGCACAUGUGUGCAUACCCAUGUGUGCAUAACCAUGCAUGCUACAGCAAGGGUGGGAGUUGGCUCUGUCCUUCUACCAUGUGGGUCUCUUGGGUUGACUCCAGGCUGCCAUAUUUGUACCAAUGGUCCUAGUUUGUCUUUUAGAGUUUGCUCUCUAUGAUCCUGUCUUAUUUAACUCUGUGGUUAUCAACUAGGAGCAAUCUUGUCAUCCGUUGGUCACUUAACAAUGGCUGGACCCACCUUUGGUUAUCAGAAGUAGAGGAAGAACUCCUGGUAUCUAGUGGUUGGAUGACUAAGCUGCCUCUUCUACCCAUAUGGUGACUAAAGGGGGUGGGCUAGAGAGAUUGAAGCAGUGGUUAUGAGCACUUGGUGUUAUUUCAGAAGACCCAGGUUCUGUUCCCAGCACCCACAGGACAGCUAACAACUCUCUGUAACUUUUUUCAGGGGCUAUGAAACCUUUUGUUCUCUCCUGCAUGUACACGGUGCAUGUACAUACAUGCUGGCAGAACACUUAUACCCAUAACAUUUUUUUAAAAAGGGGGGAGCAAGAAGACUCAAUGAGUUGAUAUCUAAGAUGUCUUAGAGCAGCCUCCAACCUGAAGUAAGGAUGAUUUGCUAUGAUUAGCUGUGAUUUUGCUUCUGUUCACAGUCUGUACACCCCCCAUUCCUCCUGACCUUUUUUUCAUUUAAGUCAAUUUAUUACUACUCUAAUUACUUGACAAAAGUUACCAGUGAUUAUAUUUUUAUCCCUAGUAAUUUUUCAUUUCCUCCUUUCUUGAGAGACAGAUCUGUACAUAGCCCUGGCUGUUCUGGAACUAUGUAGACCAGGCCAGCCCCAAUGAGAGCCUUCUGCCUCUGCAUAGAUAGUUCUGAGAUUAAAGGUGUGUGCCACCACCCCUGGCCUAUCCCACUAAUCCCUCACAUGCUCAUUUCAGUGGGUAUUUGCUAGCCUUCUACCCAGUCAGCAGUUGACACUGUUGCCCACCCUUACUUCAUGUCCUUGACCUUUCUGUCCUCGUAGGUUCUUUAUUAUAUACAUUAUUGUUUGAUAGGUUCUUAACUUUGGUAUUGAAUGUUUUUUUUCUUAAGAUUUACUUUACAUGUAUGAGUAUUUGCCUGUAUGUGUCUGUGUUCACUAUGUGUGUGUACACCUGGUGCCCGUGGAGCCCAUAUGUUGUGAGCAGCUAUGUGGGUGUUGGAAACUGAAUCCAGGCCCUCUGGAAGACAAAUAGGUACUCUUCACCUACUUGAGCCGCCUUUCCAGCCCUGAAUCUUUUUUUUUUUUUUUAAGUUUAUUUAAUGUAUGUGAAUACACUGUUACCGUCUUCUUCAGACACACCAGAAGAAAACAUUGGAUUCCAUUACAGAUGGUUGUGAGCCACCAUGUGGUUGCUGGGAAUUGAACUUAGGACCUUGGGGAGAGCAGUCAGUGCUCUUAACCACUGAGCCAUCUCUCCAGCCUCUAGCCCCUAGCACUGAAUUUUUAAAAGCAUUUUUUAAAGCUCUGAAUUUUUUAACAUGAUUCUUUUAUUUUACUCAGUAGUCAUCCUGUGUGAUCCCUGCAGGCUCUGAAAUCUACCUCUAAGUUGGUAACUCCUGAAUGCAUGUGCUGUAGCUCUUGUGGACCUAAGACAUUGCCUCUACCAGAAUUGUUAAUGUGCUCCAAUAUGACUGGUCAUACUCAUCUCUUCCCCAAACCCUCUUCUUUAUAGCCUUCUGUAUACUAAACUGGUUUAUUGAUUAAACCAGUUCUUGAGCUAGGAAUGUUGUAGUCUUUCUCACCUAUAGCAAUUGUUCAUCCAUGUUGAUGCAAAAAAAAAAAAAAAAAGAGAGUGUUUCAUGUGUGGCUUUAUUGGUGCUCUCAAGUCUUAGUUCUUCUAAUGACUUCACUCUUUAGAUCCUGCCAGUCUGUCUUCCUCCCUGUAGAUGCAUUCUGAACAGUGCAGCCUGACUCGUCAGUCCAUGGGCAUGCCUAGGCAUGUCAUCCCUUACUUAAAACCUUUCUAUCUGUAGAAGAAUGAAGAUUAACCUUCAGUACAGAUGAUAACAGUUGUCUUCCGUGCUUAGUCUUAAGAGAU